rnacentral:rRNA from 1 species
UUCCGGUUGAUCCUGCCGGACCCGACUGCUAUUUGGGUGAGGAUAAGCCAUGCGAGUUGAAUGGGAUACCUAAAGUUCCCAUAGCAAACUGCUCAGUAACACAUGAUCAACUUACCCUAUAGAGAAAAAUAACCUCGGGAAACUGAGGAUAAUGUUUCAUAGUUGAAUUGGCUUGGAAAAGUUUUUCGACGAAAGAGGUAAAAAAAAUGGUUUUUAUCUGCUAUAGGAUAGGAUCGUGUUCGAUUAUGGUUGUUGGUGAGGUAAUGGCUCACCAAGCCGAUAAUCGAUAGGGGCCGUGAGAGCGGGAGCCCCGAGAUGGGUACUGAGACAACGACCCAGGCCUUACGAGGCGCAGCAGGCGCGAAACCUCCGCAAUACACGAAAGUGUGACGGGGUUACCCAAAGUGUUCAAUUUUGAACUGUGGUAGGUGAGUAAUGUUCCCUACUAGAAAGGAGAGGGCAAGGCUGGUGCCAGCCGCCGCGGUAAAACCAGCUCUUCAAGUGGUCGGGAUAAUUAUUGGGCUUAAAGUGUCCGUAGCCGGUUUAGUAAGUUCCUGGUAAAAUCGGGUAGCUUAACUAUCUAUAUGCUAGGAAUACUACUAUACUAGAGGGCGGGAGAGGUCUGAGGUACUACAGGGGUAGGGGUGAAAUCUUAUAAUCCUUGUUGGACCACCAGUGGCGAAGGCGUCAGACUGGAACGCGCCUGACGGUGAGGGACGAAAGCCAGGGGAGCGAACCGGAUUAGAUACCCGGGUAGUCCUGGACCGUAAACGAUGCAUACUAGUGAUGGCACGGGCCAUGAGCCGUGUCAGUGCCGUAGGGAAACCGUUAAGUGUGCCGCCUGGGAAGUACGGUCGCAAGGCUAAAACUUAAGGAAUUGGCGGGGGAGCACCACAGGGGUGAAGCCUGCGGUUCAAUUGGAUUCAC